rnacentral:rRNA from 1 species
AGAGUUUGAUCCUGGCUCAGAAUGAACGCUGGCGGCGUGCUUAACACAUGCAAGUCGAACGAGAAAGGGAUUGCUUGCAAUCCUGAGUAGAGUGGCGCACGGGUGAGUAACACGUAGAUAAUCUGCCUUCAAACCUGGGAUAACUAUUCGAAAGGAUAGCUAAUACCGGAUAAAGUCGGUUUACAUAAGUAGAUUGAUGAAAGAUUGCCUCUUCUUGAAAGCAAUUGUUUGGAGAUGAGUCUGCGGACCAUUAGCUUGUUGGUGGGGUAAAGGCCUACCAAGGCAUCGAUGGUUAGCUGGUCUGAGAGGAUGAUCAGCCACACUGGAACUGGAACACGGUCCAGACUCCUACGGGAGGCAGCAGUGAGGAAUUUUGCGCAAUGGGGGCAACCCUGACGCAGCAACGCCGCGUGAGUGAAGAAGGCCUUUGGGUCGUAAAGCUCUGUCAACUGGGAAGAAAUUAGUUUUAUUUAAUAGAUAAGACUAUUGACGGUACCAGUGGAGGAAGCGCCGGCUAACUCCGUGCCAGCAGCCGCGGUAACACGGGGGGCGCAAGCGUUAUUCGGAAUUAUUGGGCGUAAAGGGCGCGCAGGCGGUCUUGUCCGUCAGGUGUGAAAGCUCGGGGCUCAACCCCGGAAGUGCACUUGAAACAGCAAGACUUGAAUACGGGAGAGGAAAGCGGAAUUCCUGGUGUAGAGGUGAAAUUCGUAGAUAUCAGGAGGAACACCGAUGGCGAAGGCAGCUUUCUGGACCGAUAUUGACGCUGAGGCGCGAAGGCGUGGGUAGCGAACGGGAUUAGAUACCCCGGUAGUCCACGCAGUAAACGUUGUACACUCGGUGUGGCGGAUAUUAAAAUCUGCUGUGCCUAAGCUAACGCAUUAAGUGUACCGCCUGGGAAGUACGGUCGCAAGACUAAAACUCAAAGGAAUUGACGGGGGCCCGCACAAGCGGUGGAGCAUGUGGUUUAAUUCGACGCAACGCGAAGAACCUUACCAGGUCUUGACAUUGAUCGCGAUCUGCAGAAAUGCGGAGUUCUUCUUCGGAAGACGAGAAAACAGGUGGU